rnacentral:tRNA from 1 species
GGAGCGGUAGUUCAGUUGGUUAGAAUACCGGCCUGUCACGCCGGGGGU